CCUACGGGUGGCAGCAGUGAGGAAUAUUGGUCAAUGGGCGAAAGCCUGAACCAGCCAUGCAGCGUGCAGGAAGACGGCUCUAUGAGUUGUAAACUGCUUUUGUACGAGGGUAAAAACAGAUACGUGUAUCUGCUUGAAAGUAUCGUAUGAAUAAGGAUCGGCUAAUUCCGUGCCAGCAGCCGCGGUAAUACGGAGGAUCCAAGCGUUAUCCGGAUUUAUUGGGUUUAAAGGGUGCGUAGGCGGUUUAGUAAGCCAGCCGUGAAAUUGUGGGGCUCAACCCCAAACGUGCCGUUGGUACUGGUGGUCUGGAGUGCAGUUGCGGUAGGCGGAAUGCGUGGUGUAGCGGUGAAAUGCUUAGAGAUCAUACAGAACACCGAUUGCGAAGGCAGCUUACGAAACUGUAUCUGACGUUGAAGCACGAAGGCGUGGGUAUCAAACAGGAUUAGAUACCCUUGUAGUC
rnacentral:rRNA from 1 species